CACGUAAGUUGCGAGCGUUGUUCGGAAUUAUUGGGCGUAAAGGGCAUGUAGGCGGUCUUGCAAGUCUGGUGUGAAAUACCGUGGCUCAACCACGGCACUGCGUUGGAAACUGCAUGACUGGAGUCGCUGAGGGGCAGGCAGAAUUCCUGGUGUAGGGGUGAAAUCUGUAGAUAUCAGGAAGAAUACCAAUGGCGAAGGCAGCCUGCCAGCAGAUGACUGACGCUGAGGUGCGAAGGUGCGGGGAGCAAAC
rnacentral:rRNA from 1 species